AACAAAAUGCCUGAUUAAAGGACUAUUUUGAUAGAAUAGAAUAUGUAACUAUUUACUUUUGUUA
rnacentral:tRNA from 1 species